rnacentral:rRNA from 1 species
UACAGAGGUCCCAAGCGUUGUUCGGAUUCAUUGGGCGUAAAGGGCGCGUAGGCGGGAUGGCAAGUCGGUCGUGAAAUCCCUCGGCUCAACCGAGGAACGUCGAUCGAUACUGCUGUUCUUGAGGAUUGCAGAGGAGACUGGAAUUCCCGGUGUAGCGGUGAAAUGUGUAGAGAUCGGGAGGAACACCGGUGGCGAAGGCGGGUCUCUGGGCAUUACCUGACGCUGAGGAGCGAAAGCAUGGGGGAGCGAAACAGG